UACGGAGGGUGCAAACGUUGCUCGGAAUCAUUGGGCGUAAAGCGCACGUAGGCGGCCUGUUAAGUCGGGUGUGAAAGCCCUGGGCUCAACCCAGGAAGUGCACUCGAAACUGUCGGGCUUGAGUAUGGGAGAGGUGAGUGGAAUUUCCGGUGUAGCGGUGAAAUGCGUAGAUAUCGGAAGGAACACCUGUGGCGAAAGCGGCUCACUGGACCAUUACUGACGCUGAUGCACGAAAGCUAGGGGAGCAAACAGG
rnacentral:rRNA from 1 species